rnacentral:rRNA from 1 species
CUAACCUACGGGACGCAGCAGUGGGGGAUAUUGCACAAUGGGGGAAACCCUGAUGCAGCGACGCCGCGUGUGGGAAGACGGUCCUCUGGAUUGUAAACCACUGUCCCCAGGGACGAAGAUGACGGUACCUGGGGAGGAAGCUCCGGCUAACUACGUGCCAGCAGCCGCGGGAAUACGUAGGGAGCGCGCGUUGUCCGGAAUUACUGGGUGUAAAGGGAGCGUAGGCGGGACUGCAAGUUGGGUGUCAAAUCUACCGGCUCAACCGGUAGCCGCACUCAAGACUGCAGU